rnacentral:lncRNA from 1 species
GGUAGAGGGGUAGAGGGGUGGAGGGGUAGAGGGGUAGAGGGGUGGAGGGGUAGAGGAGUAGAGGGGUAGAGGGACGGAGGAUGUACUGCCCAAGGCUGUUUCUAACACAAACUGAUUUUCAUAUUGAUGUGCAAUGUAGGGUCUCUCUUUCCAGUCCACAUAUUGGCUCAUGCAUCACCUAACUGCAGCUGUCAGCUACACUGAUAGGACUGACUCAGACACAAUGUUCCUCCUUUCAUAAAUAACCGUUAGCUGGUGUUAGGGCUGCAUACUGCUCCAGGCAUACUGCUCCAGGCAUACUGCUGCAGGCAUACUGCUCCAGGCAUACUGCUCCAGGCAUACUGCUCCAGGCAUACUGCUCCAGGCAUACUGCUCCAGGCAUACUGCUCCAGGCAUCACACACCGUUCAUUACUAUUAACAUUCAAUCACACGCAGGACUUUGUAUUUCUACACAGUGUGACUAUUAUAAGUCUUUACAUUCAGAAUUGUCAAUACCGAUUAAUAAAAAUACAAAAAUUGCAUCAUAUUAUCCUUUAUGGCGAGUCUGAGCUAACAUUAAUUUUCUAGUCCUAGAUGGGCUCUGAAAAACAGGGAAUGUUUCAAUUUGACAUGACCUCAUGCUACACUGUAGCUGUAAAGUUCUCCUGUUAGAUUAUAUUAUAGAUAUAUUAUUAUAUAUUAUAUCUCAGUAUCACACAAUAAUGUUCACACAAUUACAGCACUUGGGACCUUGAGACCAGAAACGUUGUAUUUCCAGUAAACGUUUGUUUAGAGAGAUCCUCAACACCACCAACAGUGGAGCAAGAUGGCGUCGACAUGCAAGAUGGCGUCGACAUGCAAGAUGGCGUCGACAUGCAAGAUGGCGUCGACAUGCAAGAUGGCGUCGACAUGCAAGAUGGCGUCGACAUGCCAGCUCUGCUCCUAAGGAACUUUGCAGUAUUUUUUGUUGUUGUUGUGUGUGUUAUUUCUUACAUUAUUAGCCCAGAAUUUGUUUUGUGUUAUUACAUACAGCCAGAAAUAACUUUUGGAUAUCAGAGCGGCGGUAACUGACCACCAUUCUGACCAGGAACACGACUUUCCCGAAUUGUUUUUUUGUUCGUACCCCCCAGGGCGUUUUAACUCAUCCCAGAAACUGCUCCAAGUUGCCGCUGGUGGAGAAGAGGUAUUCAGAGUGGACUACUAGUCUGACUCAGGAGGAGAGGAGAGGAGAGGAGAGGAGAGGAGAGGAGAGGAGAGGAGAGUUGCCGUUGGUGGAGAAGAGGUAUUCAGAGUGGACUACUAGUCUGACUCAGGAGGAGAGGAGAAGGAGAGGAGAGGAGAGGAGAGGAGAGUUGCCGUUGGUGGAGAAGAGGUAUUCAGAGUGGACUACUAGUCUGACUCAGGAGGAGAGGAGAUGGAGAGGAGAGGAGAGGAGAGUUGCCGUUGGUGGAGAAGAGGUAUUCAGAGUGGACUACUAGUCUGACUCAGGAGGAGAGGAGAUGGAGAGGAGAGGAGAGUUGCCGUUGGUGGAGAAGAGGUAUUCAGAGUGGACUACUAGUCUGACUCAGGAGGAGAGGAGAUGGAGAGGAGAGGAGAGGAGAGGAGAGGAGAGGAGAAUUGCCGUUGGUGGAGAAGAGGUAUUCAGAGUGGACUACUAGUCCGACUCAGGAGGCGUGCACACCAUCCACCGCUACCAAGUAUAUUACUCCCUGCAUUUCGCCACAGCCGCAAUAACAUCUGCUAAAUAUGUGUAUGUGACCGAUAAAAUUUGAUUUGAUUUGAAGAGCAGAGAUACUGAUCACAGUGAGGCUAAACUAUUUAAUCUACAGUAUUACAGUAUCUACAGGGUUGAACUGAGACAUGGAAGAGAAGUCUGUUUCUGUAAUCCAUGUGAAAGAGAAAAGAGCAGUCAGAGAAUUACAUGAAGCUAAGCGUUGCAUGUUACAUUGGGAAAAGAUUAUCCCAGGCCAGCCAGAUGUGUCUUUCUUGGAGGGAGCUGGGCCGACGGGGCCGAUCAGAACAAGCUGUAAGAAGCCGAGAGACAGGCCGUGCAGCGACAAGCAGUCAUAUCCUGCGGCUGGGAGGCAGAGAACAGCGGGGAGUCUUACACUGAGUCACUCACCGUCUCUCUCUCUGUCUCUGAAUAUGCAACAUUUCAGGUUUAGGAGAAUUCAGUUAUUGUUGACAUACAUGUGUUUCCCAUGCCAAUAAAGCCUUUUGAAUUAUAUAUAUAGAGAGAAAAUCCAUUGAAAAAGACUAAUAAAUAUAUAAAGGUU